UUUUGUCAGUGACGAGACCACGGAACCUGCGCCAGGCAUGGCGCCUGAUCAGUUAUGAAGAUAGUUUCCAUGCUGCCUUCCUUCUGAGACGAGU
rnacentral:snoRNA from 12 species